AUGAACGCUGGCGGCGUGCCUCAUACAUGCAAGCCGGGCGAACGGACGAGAAGCUUGCUUCUCUGAUGUUAGCGGCGGACGGGUGAGUAACACGUGGAUAACCUACCUAUAAGACUGGGAUAACUUCGGGAAACCGGAGCUAAUACCGGAUAAUAUUUUGAACCGCAUGGUUCAAAAGUGAAAGACGGUCUUGCUGUCACUUAUAGAUGGAUCCGCGCUGCAUUAGCUAGUUGGUAAGGUAACGGCUUACCAAGGCAACGAUGCAUAGCCGACCUGAGAGGGUGAUCGGCCACACUGGAACUGAGACACGGUCCAGACUCCUACGGGAGGCAGCAGUAGGGAAUCUUCCGCAACGGGCGAAAGCCUGACGGAGCAACGCCGCGUGAGUGAUGAAGGUCUUCGGAUCGUAAAACUCUGUUAUUAGGGAAGAACAUAUGUGUAAGUAACUGUGCACAUCUUGACGGUACCUAAUCAGAAAGCCACGGCUAACUACGUG
rnacentral:rRNA from 1 species